GACGAACGCUGGCGGCGCGCCUAACACAUGCAAGUCGAACGAGCGGGAGAGAGCUUGCUUUCUCAAGCGAGUGGCGAACGGGUGAGUAACGCGUGAGGAACCUGCCUCAAAGAGGGGGACAACAGUUGGAAACGACUGCUAAUACCGCAUAAGCCCACGACCCGGCAUCGGGUAGAGGGAAAAGGAGCAAUCCGCUUUGAGAUGGCCUCGCGUCCGAUUAGCUAGUUGGUGAGGUAACGGCCCACCAAGGCGACGAUCGGUAGCCGGACUGAGAGGUUGAACGGCCACAUUGGGACUGAGACACGGCCCAGACUCCUACGGGAGGCAGCAGUGGGGAAUAUUGCACAAUGGGGGAAACCCUGAUGCAGCGACGCCGCGUGGAGGAAGAAGGUCUUCGGAUUGUAAACUCCUGUUGUUGAGGAAGAUAAUGACGGGACUCAACAAGGAAGUGACGGCUAACUACGU
rnacentral:rRNA from 1 species